UCAUUCUCUUUUUACAGAUGGAGAAACUGGGUCACAGAUAGGCAAAGUGGUAGGGAGGUAAGUUGUGAGUGAAAUCUGAACAGAGGCAGUGUGGUUCUAGAGUCUACAGGUUCAUCUACCAUGUUCUACAGAAGUGAGUGAAAGAAAUCUGGCUUUGUUUUGAAUUUCAGGUGACUGACUCCAAUUCUGUGUCUUUCCCACUAAACCAGACUUCCUUCUGGGCUUCACUGAAGGGACAAUGUAUACGUCCUAAGCAUAGUGGAAGGCAUGCAACACAUGCCAGGAUGAGCUGAACAGGUGGCCCUCUACCUUCCAGGCACAACCUGACUUGAGGACCCCACACCAGGAUCCUAACAGAGAAAUAUGUCAAAGAAAAUGCCAUGGUUUCUGGUUCCUUGCUGAUGAGCCAAGUUUCAUGCACUUGGGCGAGGUCCUGCUCCUGAAUAAUCUCUACACACAGGAAAGGAUGAGGCCAGCUGGAUCCAGAGAACAGAUCUGCAUGAAGCUCUUCUUCUCAAAAAGGUGGAGGAGGAAGGAGAGAGGACUGAUGGAUCUCGGCAAGAGGGCGGCAGAAACUGUGACCUUUGGAAACAGAGCACUGAGAACAGUUACAUCAUGAAAAGCACUCCUUACCCUUCUCUUUAAGGAAAAAAAGAAGUGGGAUUCUGCUAAUGCAGAGGAGAAAAUUGGAGCCUUAAAUACAUAUAUUAUAAAAGGAAAGGCCAAAAAUCAAUGGCUAAAUAUCUGUCAUAAAAGUUGGCAAAAGAGCAGCAAAUUAAAUCCAAAGAAAGUAAGAAGGAAGGAAAUAAUAAAGAUAAGGGGUAAAAUUAAUGAAAUAGAAAAGACAUAUUCAAAAGAAAAUAAUCAACAAAACCAAAAUUUGUUUUCUUGAAAAAACUAAUAAAAUUGAUAACUCCCAGGAAAAAAUAAUUAAAAAAAGAAAAAAAUAUAGAAAAUUAGUAUAAACAAAGGGGAAAGACAUUUAAAAAAUGACUGUAGGUUAUUAUAAACUUUUUUUUAAAUAAGCCUUGUCAACUGAGAGAAGACGGAUAAAUUCUUAGUAAACACAAGAUACAAACUUUUAAAUAAUUCUGUAUAAUUCUAUUCAAAAUAGUAAAGCCAUAAUUUAAAUCUUCCUAUGAAUAAAAAUCCAGGGCCAGAUGACUUCACUAAUGAAUUCUUCCAAACAUUUAAAGAAGAAGUGAUUCCAAUCUUAGAUAAACUUCCUUAGAGAAGCAGGAUAGAUACUUCUCAACUUCACUAGGCCAGCAAACCUUGAUAUCUGACAAGGAUAUUACAAGAAAGGAUUCAGUCAGUCUUUCUUAUGAAUAUAUAUGAUGAUAUUUUAAACAAAAUAUAUAAAACGAGAUAUACAAAAAACGUAUAUGUCAUGACCAAGUCAGGUUUUUUUCCCCAACAAGCCACAGCUGAUUUAAUACCAGUAUAAUGCAGUAAACUAAUAGAAAAGGAAAGAGAAAUAAGAUUGAUAUGCAGAAAAAUAUUCAAGAAUUCAUAUCCAUACAUGACUUAAAAAUAAUUGUGGCAACUAGAAAUAGAGGGAAUUUUCUUAAUUUGAUAAAUGUCAGUAGAAACUUAUAGCAGACUUUGUAUUUGAUGAUGAACCAUUAAAAAUUUUCUGCCUGAGACUGGAGUUGAGGAAGAAAUGGUGGAGAUCACCAUUGUACAGCACCAUUAUAUCACCACUACUCAACGUUGUAAUGGAGGGCCUACCAUUUACAAUAAAGUGAGAAAAAGAAAUAAAAUGCGUAAGACAUGAAAAU
ensembl:lincRNA